AUACGGAGGGUGCAAGCGUUAUCCGGAAUCACUGGGUUUAAAGGGUGCGUAGGCGGGAAAUUAAGUCAGUGGUGAAAUCCUGUCGCUUAACGAUAGAACUGCCAUUGAUACUGAUUUUCUUGAAUUGGGUUGAGGUUAGCGGAAUGUGACAUGUAGCGGUGAAAUGCAUAGAUAUGUCAUGGAACACCAAUUGCGAAGGCAGCUAACUGGGCCUUGAUUGACGCUGAGGCACGAAAGCGUGGGUAGCGAACAGGAUUAGAUACCCUGGUAGUCCACGCCCUAAACGAUGCUAACUCGAUGUUUGGACGUAAAGUUUGAGCAUCCAAGGGAAACCGAUAAGUUAGCCACCUGGGGAGUACGACCGCAAGGUUGAA
rnacentral:rRNA from 1 species